rnacentral:rRNA from 1 species
ACUGCUCAGUAACACGUGGACAACCUGCCCUUAGGUUGGGUAUAAACCCGGGAAACUGGGUAUAAUACCCGAUAGGUCUCGAUUGCUGGAAUGCAUCGAGAUUUAAAGCUCCGGCGCCUAAGGAUGGGUCUGCGGCCUAUCAGGUAGUAGUGGGUGUAGCGUACCUACUAGCCUACGACGGGUACGAGUUGUGAGAGCAAGAGCCCGGAGAUGGAUUCUGAGACACGAAUCCAGGCCCUACGGGGUGCAGCAGGCGCGAAAACUUUACAAUGCUGGCAACAGCGAUAAGGGAACCUCGAGUGCCAGGUUACAAAUCUGGCUGUCGAGAUGCCUAAAAAGCAUUUCAUAGCAAGGGCCGGGCAAGACCGGUGCCAGCCGCCGCGGUAACACCGGCGGCUCGAGUGGUAACCGUUAUUAUUGGGUCUAAAGGGUCUGUAGCCGGCCGGAUAAGUCUCUUGAGAAAUCUGGCAGCUUAACUGUCAGGCUUUCAGGAGAUACUGUCUGGCUCGAGGCCGGGAGAGGUGAGAGGUACUUCAGGGGUAGGGGUGAAAUCUUGUAAUCCUUGAAGGACCACCAGUGGCGAAGGCGUCUCACCAGAACGGACCUGACGGCAAGGGACGAAAGCUAGGGGCACGAACCGGAUUAGAUACCCGGGUAGCCCUAGCCGUAAACGAUACUCGCUAGGUGUCGGCCACGGUGCGACCGUUGUCGGUGCCGUAGGGAAGCCGUGAAGCGAGCCACCUGGGAAGUACGGCCGCAAGGCUGAAACUUAAAGGAAUUGGCGGGGGAGCAC